GUGAUGGAGCUUGCGCAGUAGAUCAGUGGCUUCCUGGCUUCGGCGUCCCUCUCGCUUCUAAGGGCGCACUUGUUGCAGGGCUGUACUUUAAGGAGAGUUUUUUGUUUUUAAUGUUAUAACUGUCUGAAUCUAUGCCCUAGCCUAUCACUGUUUAAUAGAGAUAAUUCAGUUUAACUAGCCAAAAAGGAAUAAACCAAAGCUUUUCUACGACGCUUAAUAAAAGACUGCAGAGUCAGCCUGCUCGGAGGUUAAGGAUAGUGCGUUAGCAAAGGGUGCCGAAGUGGAAUUUUCCGAGACUGUUUCGAAUAUUUUUCUUUCUAAUCCAGACUUUUGCCACAACGGAAAUUGUACCAAACAAACAAUCUUUCAAAGAUGAAGGAUCAUCUAGCUUACUCCUUGCGACCGCAUGGUUCUAUAGGACACGCUGUUUAAUACUAAAUAGAAUCGAUGGGGAUCUCCUGGAAGACCUUGAAGAGUAAGACAGUGGUCCCUUGCAGGUCGCAGGUGAUUGGGAGACCGUGAUGGAUAUAAAGCUCUCACAACAGGAAAGUGCAAGUGUGUACAAGCAAAGCUGCUCCUUAUUCUGCCUGAUGUGGCCUGAAAGAAAGAGUCAGGGGUCUGAAAAUUCUGAUUUUUCAAAUAACUUCAGUUACAAAAAUCCCCAGGCUUCCUCGUGGCCGCCAUCUUUGCUUGUAAGGUAGCUUCUUUUCACACUCUUGUGCACCAGGGAUCUUGUAGAACUGGGAUGUGGUCCAGAAAUCAGCAAAUCAAGAACUCAUAAAUUCAACAAGGCACAGUUCAUACUGCCAGAAAAUGACACAAUGGUAAAACAGCAAAGAAGGACCAGUUUGAGUGCCAUCGUGGAUUGGAGCGAGCAGGCAUUUUAAUCUUGAAGAAAUUUCCCAGUGGAAACGAAAGUGUUUUCUAUUCUUUCUGGAAACAUCUGAUCUGUCAUUGGUUUAUCAGAGUGAGACAUUUUUAUUCACUAUCAAUUGAGAUAAUGUUCCAACUGUGUUUGAUUUUAAUUUUAAAAGCUGUAUUUCUCAAUACUGUGGAAAUUUGAAA